GAGACUAUAGCUCAAAUGGUAGAGUACAUGCUUAACAUACAUGAGGCCCUAGGUUCAAUCCCCAGUACCUCCU
rnacentral:tRNA from 1 species